ensembl:lncRNA
GUGUGGUUUGAGAGCAGAGAGAGGGGUGAGGUAUGGUGUGAGAGCAGAGAGAGGGGUGAGGUAUGGUGUGAGAGCAGAGAGAGGGGUGAGGUAUGGUGUGAGAACAGAGAGAAGAGUGAGGGGUGAGGUAUUGUGUGAGAGCAGAGAGAAGAGAGAGGGGUGAGGUAUUGUGUGAGAGCAGAGAGAGGGGUGAGGUAUGGUGUGAGAGCAGAGAGAAGAGAGAGGGGUGAGGUAUGGUGUGAGAGCAGAGAGAAGAGAGGGGGGGUGAGGAAUGGUGUGAGAGCAGAGAGAGGGUGAGGUAUGGUGUGAGAGCAGAGAGAAGAGAGCAGAGAGAGGGGUUGAGGUAUGGUUUGAGAGCAGAGAGAGGGGUGAGGUAUGGUGUGAGAGCAGAGAGAGGGGUGAGUAUGGUGUGAGAGCAGAGAGAGGGGUGAGGUAUGGUGUGAGAGCAGAGAGAGGGUGAGGUAUGGUGUGAGAGCAGAGAGAGGGGUGAGGUAUGGUGUGAGAGCAGAUUGAAGAGAGAGGGGUGAGGUAUGGUAUGAGAGCUGAGAGAAGAGAGAGGGGUGAGGUAUUGUGUGAGAGCAGAGAGAGGGGUGAGGUAUGGUGUGAGAGCAGAUUGAAGAGAGAGGGGGUGAGGUAUGGUGUGAGAGCAGAGAGAAGAGAGAGGGGUGAGGCAUUGUGUGAGAGCAGAGAGAGGGGUGAGGUAUGGUUUGAGAGCAGAGAGAGGGGUGAGGUAUGUUGUGAGAGCAGAGAGAAGAGAGAGGGGUGAGGUAUGGUGUGAGAGCAGAGAGAGGGGUUGAGGUAUGGUUUGAGAGCAGAGAGAGGGGUGAGGUAUGGUGUGAGAGCAGAGAGAGGGGUGAGGUAUG